AAACAGGUUAAUAUUCCUGUACUUGGUGUUACUGCGAAGGGGGGACGGAGAAGGCUAUGUUAGCCGGGCGACGGUUGUCCCGGUUUAAGCAUGUAGGCGGAGGUUCCAGGUAAAUCCGGUACCUUUUAACGCUGAGGUGUGAUGACGAGGCACUACGGUGCUGAAGUAACAAAUGCCCUGCUUCCAGGAAAAGCCUCUAAGCAUCAGGUAACAUUGAAUCGUACCCCAAACCGACACAGGUGGUCAGGUA
rnacentral:rRNA from 1 species